GAUGGAGAACGCAGCGAAAUGCGAUACGUAAUGUGAAUUGCAGAAUUCAGUGAAUCAUCGAGUCUUUGAACGCACAUUGCGCCCCCUGGUAUUCCGGGGGGCAUGCCUGUCCGAGCGUCAUUGCUGCCCUCAAGCACGGCUUGUGUGUUGGGCCUCCGUCCUCCUCCCGGGGGACGGGCCCGAAAGGCAGCGGCGGCACCGCGUCCGGUCCUCGAGCGUAUGGGGCUUCGUCACCCGCUCUUGUAGGCCCGGCCGGCGCUUGCCGACACAUCAAUCUUUUUUCCAGGUUGACCUCGGAUCAGGUAGGGAUACCCGCUGAACUUAAGCAUAUCAAUAAGCGGAGGA
rnacentral:misc_RNA from 1 species